GAUGAACGCUGGCGGCGUGCCUAAUACAUGCAAGUCGAGCGAACAGACGAGGAGCUUGCUCCUCUGACGUUAGCGGCGGACGGGUGAGUAACACGUGGAUAACCUACCUAUAAGACUGGGAUAACUUCGGGAAACCGGAGCUAAUACCGGAUAAUAUAUUGAACCGCAUGGUUCAAUAGUGAAAGACGGUUUUGCUGUCACUUAUAGAUGGAUCCGCGUCGCAUUAGCUAGUUGGUAAGGUAACGGCUUACCAAGGCGACGAUGCGUAGCCGACCUGAGAGGGUGAUCGGCCACACUGGAACUGAGACACGGUCCAGACUCCUACGGGAGGCAGCAGUAGGGAAUCUUCCGCAAUGGGCGAAAGCCUGACGGAGCAACGCCGCGUGAGUGAUGAAGGUCUUCGGAUCGUAAAACUCUGUUAUUAGGGAAGAACAAAUGUGUAAGUAACUAUGCACGUCUUGACGGUACCUAAUCAGAAAGCAACGGCUAACUACGUG
rnacentral:rRNA from 1 species